CAAGCAACUCUGUCAAAUUUCACCAGAAGUGAGGACUAAAUAUUGACUACCGAAUUUUGCAAGAAAUUUUGUUAUAAAGAGAAAAUCCAUUUGGGAUUGCCCGAAAGAUGAAGCAUUGGAAAGCACUGCAUAGCUCCAUGUUAUCAAUCAAUUAAUGUCUUCAGUCCUUUAAUGGAAAGAUAAACCUGGAUGGCACUCCUGGUCCUUGUAAUAAAUGAUGAGAUGGAUUGACAACUGGAAUUAUCCCUAUUAUG
rnacentral:lncRNA from 1 species